rnacentral:rRNA from 1 species
GCAUAUCAAUAAGCGGAGGAAAAGAAAAUAACAAUGAUUCCCCUAGUAACUGCGAGUGAAGAGGGACAAGCUCAAAUUUUAAAUCUAUCGGGUUCUACCUGACCGAGUUGUAAUUUGAAGAGGCGUUUUCUGUGUUUCUGAUCAGUCCAAGUCCUUUGGGAUAAGGCAUCACGGAGGGUGAGAAUCCCGUUCGGUUGAUCAGAUUCGCUUUACGAUACGCUUUCAAAGAGUCAAGUUGUUUGGGAUUGCAGCUUAAAAUGGGAGGUAAAUUUCUCCUAAGGCUAAAUAACGGCGAGAGACCGAUAGCGAACAAGUACCGUGAGGGAAAGAUGAAAAGAACUUUGAAAAGAGAGUUAAAUAGUACGUGAAAUUGUUGAAAGGGAAACGAUUGAAGCCAGUCGUACCGGCGGGUAAUCAGCCUUUCGGGUAUGAUUCUGUGGAGCGUGAGGAGUUAAACGCCUUCAUGCCUGCAUAUUCGUGCUCUUGGGUGUACUUGCUCGUGUGGUUGGUUAACAUCAAUUUCGAAUAUCAUAAAAUGGCUGGAGGAAUGUAGCUUCGAUUUCGAUUGAAGUGUUAUAGCCUUCGGCAGAUGUGAUGAUCGGGAUUGAGGAUUGCAACGGAUACCCUUCGGGGCUACCUGUCCGAUCUCUGAUCGUUGCUUUGGUGCCGAAAGCGUGCUUACGGUUAUCAAAGUCGAUGGUUAAUAGGUUAGAACGGGUUAAAUUCGUUAAGGAUGUUGACGUA